rnacentral:rRNA from 1 species
UACGGGGGGAGCAAGCGUUGUUCGGAUUUACUGGGCGUAAAGGGCGCGUAGGCGGUCAGUGCAAGUCAGUUGUGAAAUCUCCGAGCUUAACUCGGAAAGGUCAACUGAUACUGCUCGACUAGAGUGCGGAAGGGGCAACUGGAAUUCUUGGUGUAGCGGUGAAAUGCGUAGAGAUGUGGAGGAACACCGAUGGCGAAGGCAGCCUCCUGGGCCAGCACUGACGCUCAUGCACGAAAGCGUGGGGAGCAAACAGG